rnacentral:tRNA from 1 species
GCGGACGUAGCUCAGUUGGUAGAGCGCAACCUUGCCAAGGUUGAGGUCGCGAGUUCGAGCCUCGUCGUCCGCUUCA